rnacentral:tmRNA from 1 species
GGGGAUGAAAGGAUUUCGACAGGGUUGGCGAGCCUUGAUCAGCGAGUAGCGGAGUUGCACCGCUUAAAAAGUAACAACUUAAAAAUUAACUGACAAUAAUAAAUCAGUAGCUCUUGCUGCGUAAUUAGCAGCUUGCGUUCUGCCGAAGAGUGCCACGGCUUCGGACAGGGCGUCGACUUAGUGGCGAACAUGAACAGGAGAGUGUCUCGGCUCUUGUCAGGUAUCAGAGAAUACCGUAGCGCAUAGGCUGACUGCCGCCGAUGCGUGAGGGGAUAACUUAAAAGACAGCCUACACUCGUAGAGCCCUCGGUAAACUGAUUUUGGACGCGGUUUCGAUUACCGCCAUCUCCACCA